UGUGGGAGCGGGCUUGCUCGCGAUAGCGGUGGAUCAGCUUGUAGCAAUGUUGAAUUUGCUGCCGUCAUCGCGAGCAAGCUCGCUCCCACA
rnacentral:misc_RNA from 1 species